AUUGAACGCUGGCGGCAGGCCUAACACAUGCAAGUCGAACGAGUGGCGGACGGGUGAGUAAUGUCUGGGAAACUGCCCGAUGGAGGGGGGUAACUACUGGAAACGGUAGCUAAUACCGCAUACCAUCGGAUGUGCCCAGAUGGGAUUAGCUAGUAGGUGGGGUAACGGCUCACCCAGGCCACGACCCCUAGCUGGUCUGGGAGGAUGACCAGCAACACGGGAACGGGGAAACGGUCCAGACUCCUACGGAAGGCAGCAGUGGGGAAUAUUGCACAAUGGGCGCAAGCCUGAUGCAGCCAUGCCGCGGGGAUGAAGAAGGCCUUCGGGUUGUAAAGUACUUUCAGCGAGGAGGCGUUACUCGCAGAAGAAGCACCGGCUAACUCCGUGCCAGCAGCCGCGGUAAUUC
rnacentral:rRNA from 1 species